rnacentral:rRNA from 1 species
CCUACGGGAGGCUGCAGUGAGGAAUAUUGGUCAAUGGACGAGAGUCUGAACCAGCCAAGUAGCGUGAAGGAUGACUGCCCUAUGGGUUGUAAACUUCUUUUAUAUGGGAAUAAAAUGUUCCACGUGUGGGAUUUUGUAUGUACCAUAUGAAUAAGGAUCGGCUAACUCCGUGCCAGCAGCCGCGGUAAUACGGAGGAUCCGAGCGUUAUCCGGAUUUAUUGGGUUUAAAGGGAGCGUAGGUGGAUGGUUAAGUCAGUUGUGAAAGUUUGCGGCUCAACCGUAAAAUUGCAGUUGAAACUGGCAGUCUUGAGUACAGUAGAGGUGGGCGGAAUUCGUGGUGUAGCGGUGAAAUGCUUAGAUAUCACGAAGAACUCCGAUUGCGAAGGCAGUUCACUGGACUGCAACUGACACUGAGGCUCGAAAGUGUGGGUAUCAAACAGGAUUAGAUACCCGUGUAGUC